rnacentral:rRNA from 1 species
AGCGAACGCUGGCGGCAGGCUUAACACAUGCAAGUCGAGCGCCUCGCAAGAGGAGCGGCAGACGGGUGAGUAACGCGUGGGAACGUACCCUUAUCUUCGGAAUAGCUCUGGGAAACUGGAAGUAAUACCGAAUGUGCCCUUAGGGGGAAAGAUUUAUCGGAUAAGGAUCGGCCCGCGUUGGAUUAGCUAGUUGGUGGGGUAAAGGCCUACCAAGGCGACGAUCCAUAGCUGGUCUGAGAGGAUGAUCAGCCACAUUGGGACUGAGACACGGCCCAAACUCCUACGGGAGGCAGCAGUGGGGAAUAUUGGACAAUGGGCGCAAGCCUGAUCCAGCCAUGCCGCGUGAGUGAUGAAGGCCUUAGGGUUGUAAAGCUCUUUCACCGGAGAAGAUAAUGACGGUAUCCGGAGAAGAAGCCCCGGCUAACUUCGUG